rnacentral:rRNA from 1 species
AACAUCUAAGUACCCCGAGGAAAAGAAAUCAACCGAGAUUCCGAAAGUAGCGGCGAGCGAAAUUGGACUAGCCCUUAAGCUUUACACGCGUUAGACGAACGGUCUGGAAAGUCCGACGAUACAGGGUGAUAGUCCCGUAGUUGACGACGUGUGUUCAGUGAAAUCGAGUAGGGCGGGACACGUGAUAUCCUGUCUGAAUAUGGGGGGACCAUCCUCCAAGGCUAAAUACUACUGACUGACCGAUAGUGAACCAGUACCGUGAGGGAAAGGCGAAAAGAACCCCUGUGAGGGGAGUGAAAUAGAACCUGAAACCGUGUACGUACAAGCAGUAGGAGCAGGCUUGUCCUGUGACUGCGUACCUUUUGUAUAAUGGGUCAGCGACUUAUAUUCAGUGGCAAGGUUAACCAUCUAGGGGAGCCGUAGGGAAACCGAGUCUUAACUGGGCGUUCAGUCUCUGGAUAUAGACCCGAAACCAGGUGAUCUAGCCAUGGGCAGGUUGAAGGUUGAGUAACAUCAACUGGAGGACCGAACCGACUAAUGUUGAAAAAUUAGCGGAUGACUUGUGGCUAGGGGUGAAAGGCCAAUCAAACCUGGAGAUAGCUGGUUCUCCCCGAAAGCUAUUUAGGUAGCGCCUCGGACGAAUACUACUGGGGGUAGAGCACUGUUAAGGCUAGGGGGUCAUCCCGACUUACCAACCCUUUGCAAACUCCGAAUACCAGUAAGUACUAUCCGGGAGACACACGGCGGGUGCUAACGUCCGUCGUGGAGAGGGAAACAACCCAGACCGCCAGCUAAGGUCCCAAAUUACUACUAAGUGGGAAACGAUGUGGGAAGGCUCAGACAGCCAGGAUGUUGGCUUAGAAGCAGCCAUCAUUUAAAGAAAGCGUAAUAGCUCACUGGUCGAGUCGGCCUGCGCGGAAGAUGUAACGGGGCUAAGUA